UAGGACACCUUCAUCAGGCUCAACUUCUCAAGGAAGUCAGAUCGGAAAUGGUGUGACGCAACUCACGCAAGGCCCUCUUUCAAGGACUUCUUCAUCAUGCUCAACUUCACAAGGAAGUCAGAUCAGAUCUGGUGUGACGCAAAUCACGCAAGGCCCCCUUUCAAGUCAUGAAGAAAGAACUCCAAAGCCGCAGUCUCGCGGAUUAAAGAGGGGAUGUACAAGUAAUUCCCACCACAACACCGGGCCCAAAACGUCAACCCGCUCAAGUGAAGAAAGACUUGUUGAAUUGGCGGAAGAAGAACACCAAAUACGCCUUGAAUACAUGAGAAUCGAGCAUGAAUUUAACAUGGAAAUCCUCAAAGUCAAGAAGAAAACAGAAGAAGCUAAGCUCAAGGCAGCUCUUUCAUCCUGUGAGGAUUAAAUCCUCCUUACUGCCUUAUUUCAUCUAUGAUUUUGAUGAACUUUGAAGUGUUUUCAUUCGUUUAUGUUUCUUCAUAUUUCUUCAGAACAUUUAGUUUACUAGGUGGACUUGUCCCUUACAUUGGCAUUAAUUACAAAUUCCAUAUAUCCUUCUUAUUUCACUUUGAUGUUGGUACAUUUAAUUACUUCAGAUCUCAACCUGUAAGAGGUAGUUCUGCCCUUUGACACGAAUGGCAGUAACUGUAACAGUAUCUUUUAAUGCUCCUUAUCUUGUCUUUUAGAAAGUUCAAGUAUUUUAGAUACAAGUUCUUUCAUCAUAAUUUUCAUUAACAAAAAUUCUUUAUCAGAGAGCAUGUUCCAAUCACCCAUGCCAUCUCUUGUAAAAAGACAUAUAUUUUUAUGAGUACAUAUAUAUAUAUAUAAAUAUAUUUAUUAGACCACCAAUGUCAAUAAAGUUGAAGAAAUAUCUUUUAUGCAGAAGAUAAACGUCAAUA